UUAAGUUCAGCGGGUAUUCCUACCUGAUUCGAGGUCAACAUUUCAGAAAGUUGGGGGGUUUUACGGCGUGGCCGCGCCGCGCUCCGUAUGCGAGGUUGAAAAAACUACUACGCAGAGGAGGCUGCAGCGAGACCGCCACUAUAUUUCGGGGGGCGGCAGGCCACUGUAAAACAGCGGCCCGGUCGAUCCCCCAACACCAA
rnacentral:misc_RNA from 1 species